rnacentral:rRNA from 1 species
UACGUAGGGUGCAGGCGUUAAUCGGAGUUACUGGGCGUAAAGCGUGCGCAGGCGGUCUGCUAAGACAGGUGUGAAAUCCCCGGGCUUAACCUGGGAACUGCAUUUGUGACUGCAUCGCUGGAGUGCGGCAGAGGGGGAUGGAAUUCCGCGUGUAGCAGUGAAAUGCGUAGAUAUGCGGAGGAACACCGAUGGCGAAGGCAAUCCCCUGGGCCUGCACUGACGCUCAUGCACGAAAGCGUGGGGAGCAAACAGG